rnacentral:rRNA from 1 species
CGAGUCUUAACUGGGCGUUAAGUUGCAGGGUAUAGACCCGAAACCCGGUGAUCUAGCCAUGGGCAGGUUGAAGGUUGGGUAACACUAACUGGAGGACCGAACCGACUAAUGUUGAAAAAUUAGCGGAUGACUUGUGGCUGGGGGUGAAAGGCCAAUCAAACCGGGAGAUAGCUGGUUCUCCCCGAAAGCUAUUUAGGUAGCGCCUCGUGAAUUCAUCUCCGGGGGUAGAGCACUGUUUCGGCAAGGGGGUCAUCCCGACUUACCAACCCGAUGCAAACUGCGAAUACCGGAGAAUGUUAUCACGGGAGACACACGGCGGGUGCUAACGUCCGUCGUGAAGAGGGAAACAACCCAGACCGCCAGCUAAGGUCCCAAAGUCAUGGUUAAGUGGGAAACGAUGUGGGAAGGCCCAGACAGCCAGGAUGUUGGCUUAGAAGCAGCCAUCAUUUAAAGAAAGCGUAAUAGCUCACUGGUCGAGUCGGCCUGCGCGGAAGAUGUAACGGGGCUAAACCAUGCACCGAAGCUGCGGCAGCGACACUGUGUGUUGUUGGGUAGGGGAGCGU